ACAAAUGAAAAAAGAAAUUUUUAACAAACGUAUUUUUUAUCUUUCCUUUAUUCAAAUACUGUAAAUAAAACUGGCCUAAAGUGGAAUCUUUAGGGAAAGGGUGCAAUUUUGCGUUUGCAGUCUUUUGACUGAUAAAAGUAUAUCAUUUUAGCUAUAAUAGUGAAGUUUUAAACAUGACCAGAGGAAAUCAGAGAGAUCUUGCACGUGCAAAAGCUGCUAAGAAACAGCAAGAUCUGCAAAAACAAAAGAAGAGUUCAGAGAAGGGUGCCAACAAAGGAUUAACUUUAGAGGAACGCCGCCAUAGGGAUGCAGAGAUAAUGAGGCUAAAACAGGAAAAGAAAGGUGGUGGUGCUGAAGGCGGUGGUGAACAAGGUGCUACAGGAGGAAAGUAAAACAAUAGACAUUGUAAACAACCGAUGAUAUUUUUUUUUUUAUUAAUCAUUUGCAUUUUAUCAUUUUGUCAUAUUACUACGAUCGUGUCAUUUUCCAUGUUUCUUCAUAUCUUCUCUCUAAAUUAUAAGUUCAUACAACAUGAUUUAAUAAAGAUAUAUCAGCAGACAUGAAUCAAGAACGGUUUGACUUGAAUCAGCAUCAGCUCUGUGUCAUCUUGACAAUUGUGUGUACUGUUUAAUUAUCAAACCGAACAUACACUUAAAAAAAGUCAUCUACAUCAUAUUUUUGAGAUUAAGGGUUUGAAAUUGAAUGGAAUAAGGUUUUAUUAAUAAUUCAUACAUUCAUUAUAUUGCUUAAUCUUUUUAAGGGGGGCAUUUCUGUCUUUUGGACUAUAUAAUUUUAAAGCUACCCCUCUCAUUAUAUGGCAUAGUUUUGAACUGAUAGCUUAGAAAUGAUAUUUUUUAAAGUUAUGUCUAAAUAAUAAGAUCUGAUCACUAUGAAUAUGUAAUUUUGUUAAGAAUUUUUAAUUGGUGCAUUUAGUAAAUUCAUGUAUUUCAAUACUUUCGUUAUCACCAAAAACAUAGCUAUAUAUAUUUAUAGACUGUAGGUAAAAGUAUUACAUAAACUGUGUUUCUAAUAAGUUGAUACUUUGCAAUGGUUAAAUUGGACUGCCUUAUGUUAUAUGUUAAGGGUUUUUGUAAUACAUUUUAAAUUUACUUAUAAUCAUUGAUAAUUCAGAUUUAAUGUGUUUUUAUAUGUAUGAAUAAACAUUGUCAUUAUUA